AGAAGCUGUGUUUCUUUUGGGAGUGGCGGGGAUAUGAGGCCAGCCCGCGGCAGCUGGAGGGGACUUGACCUCAGCUUGUGGCAGUUGGUGGCCGUCUUGCUCCCAUCAAGGUAGAGCCGCCUGCGUGAGGAUGACACCAGUAAGCAGAACCCAGAGGCGGGGAGAGACCGUUCCUGCUGACGUCCCUGAGCUCCAGGUGCAGCCCUGCCGGAAGCCGUCUAUCUGUGGACUUAGUUACGCUGUUGGCUGCAUGAGAAUGGAGACCAGGUGUCUGGAGCCCGCCAGCACACAGUAGGGCCUCAGUGAACGUGCACUGGGUGUGUGGACGCUGAGACCACGGACAAGAACGUUCCAGGCGGCGAUGAAGCUGCGAUGAAGGCUCCUGUCCGUCUGUCUGUCCGCAGCUCCGGGCUCCUCCGCCUCCUGCCCUCCCCAUGCUCCCUGCGUGGUGCAUCCUCCCCCUUCUCCGACACUAGGAAGAAGAAAUCUGAAGGUCAUCAUAGAGGACACUCCAGUGGCCUGGGGCACAGUGCUCCUCAGACUUCUUGCCCAUGGGUGGGCUCUGCGCAGGAGAGGCUGGCUUCUCAGCAGGAGACAAAGAGGGAGAUGUCAUGUAUGUGCAGCUCCACCAGGCUUUGCCUACUCUCCUGAAGAGCAUCCUGAGAGGCUGGCCUGGAACAUGUUUGACGGGUGGAGGCUGGACUCUGGUGUAGGCCUGGAGAGUAUUCAGUGUCUUGCAGGCCCUGUGAUGGUGAAAUGAGUUUUGAUGGCCAAUUUUGGAGGAUGCCUCGCAAUUGAAAACUGGCUCUUCUAACUUCAAGGAUUCAGCUUAUGGCACGAGAAGUGGUGAGACUGGGCAUCCUUGUCUUGUUCCAGAUUUUAGUGGACUUCUUCCCUUAAUAAAUGAAGAAUGGGAGACUCCAGGUGGCCUCAUGGUUGAGGCUUCAAGAUGAGUGAAAAAAGAUAAAAGCAAAGUAAAAGAAGCUCAGGUUGAGUUACUCACUUUGACUU